GCCCCUGCUGGCGCCGUGAGCCCGCUCCGGGGGCAGCCCCGGCGCUGCGCCCCGGGGGCGGCGGGGCCGCGGCCGCUCCGCUCCGCCGCUCCCGGCAGGAGGGUGUGGAGGGGGCACCUCCGAGCCUCGCCCCUGCCUCCUACCCUGUGAUGCGAGGCGCAGGCAUGCUCAGUAGCCGGUGCCUACCCCUCCUCUCCCAACAACAGUGCCUACAACAGUAGGAGCCGGCUGGCAGCAGGCGCGGAGCCGAAAGCCAUCUUUGCUGGAGAGGGAGGCAGCGCUCGCCCCUCGCCAUGUCUGUUCCAGCUUCUGCCCAGGGUCCCAGCAGUGCUGCAGGGGCUGCAGGGCCCACUCCUGCCACCAAUGUGUCCAGCAACAAGCGGCUGCAGCAGACACAGGCCCAGGUGGACGAGGUGGUGGACAUCAUGAGAAUGAACGUGGACAAGGUGCUGGAAAGGGACCAGAAGUUGUCAGAGCUCGAUAACCGCGCAGACGCCUUGCAAGCAGGUGCCUCACAGUUUGAGACCAGUGCAGCCAAACUGAAGAGGAAAUACUGGUGGAAAAACUGCAAGAUGAUGAUCAUCCUUGGUGUAGUAUGCGCAGUCAUUCUCAUUAUAAUUAUAAUUUAUUUCUCCACUUGAAAAAGCAAAGAAGGAAGACUUGGCACAACUUUGUUCAUAUCAAUCGACGAUAUCAGUGUUCCUUUGUUGAACUCCGCUUUUUAAUUCCCAGUGUCUUGGGAUUUUUGCUUGUAAUAACCCAUGAGCAUUCAGUGUGGUGUAUUUUGGAAUUCUGUUGUUUCCACAAGAAACUGUACCAGCUAAAUACUGCCAAGUAGUUCCAUACACUGUCUAAUCACUGUGUCUUAAAAUGUGUACGCACUGACCUUCAGAAACUGUAGUAUAUGAAAAGCAUCCUAAAACAUCUCAGAAUCAGAGAAUGCAGCUGUGGGGAAGCUCCUGUUUAAAGGAACACUGUCAGGUGGAUUGGACCCAAAUCUAAAGUUGCACCAAACAUUAGGACCAAAAUUCUCAAUCUGAGCUCCUAAAGUUGGAUGGCAAAAUCCAUUGUCAAAUACUUCUGUUACUCCCAUUGAAGAGAGUGAUACCUAUAAGUAUUCAUGUAUACUAUACUUCAAUUUAGCCAACCAAACACAGGCUUUUUUGAGAUUAGAUGUAGAAUCCAAGUCUAAAAACAUUGUCUGCAGAAAAUAAAUAAGAGUGGUUUUUCAUCUAUUAUGGAUUUAAUUUUUUUCCUUAUGGAAAGCACCUCAUGGUGCUCUGAACAACCAAGAUGGCCUCAAUAUGAAAGCCAGAAAGAAAAAAAAAAAAAGAACUGUAUUACAGCCCAAAAGCAUUAGCUAGCACAGUCCUGAAAAAGCCAAGUGAAAUGCAGAAAUGGUAAUACAAGCAUCACAAGUGACUGGGGUGCAGUCUCCUGCUGACAGCUCGAGGCACCGUUGGCCAGGUUCCAUGGGAGCUCUCGAAUGCCCAAUCCCCAACAAUUAGGCCCUGACUCAAAGCCCGUGAGCAGCCUGGUGCUGCCUGUGGCUGGCCAGCUCUGCUGGAGGAAGCUGCCUCUGCAGCCCUUUGCAGAAAUGGUCCCCACUGCCAGGAUCACUCAAACAUCAGGAAGAGGGUAAGGGGGAACAGCAGGGAGAGGCUGAGAAAGGGAAGGGUGCCCAGCAAAGCUUUCCUGGAGAAGGAACAGAAACACUGUUCAAAGUGGUGGUGUUAAUAGGCUUUAAAAUAUUUAUUUUAAUUUGUGCAUGUGGAUAGUUCAUGAACUACUGUGUCAUCCUCGUAAAGUGCUCAGCUGAGAUAUCUAUUAUACUCAAUUAAUUGAAGCUAACAGUUGACAUGAUUAACAUAAUUAAAAGAAAUUAAAAGAACAUAGUUAAAAGAAAUUAUAUAUUGUGGCUUGAGAGAAAGUUCUUGUACGCUCUUGUGAAUUUCUUGUUUCUUUCUUUAUAAAACAGGGAAUAGUUUAAUCAUCCUUAACCAAACUAAAAAUGAAUUAAUCAAAUUUUGAGCCAGGAAAUUCAGAAAAGGGUCUUUUUAGGAUAGCUCCUUCAGAAUUUCUAAAAAGAAUUCAUAGAAUUGAAAAAAUAUUUAUUUGAUGGGUUGGGAUUUUGUGUCUGCAAUUUAAUUAGGGAAUAGAAACAGUGAUAAUAGUAGUGUAAAUAUUCCCACUGUGGAGUAUCUCUCUUAACAUAGCUUUAGAUUAAAAAAAUUGAGAGCCUGACCAGUUUGUUGCUGUGAAUCUAUAUGUAAAUUGUGCUGAAGUAGAAUUUUGCAAAGAGAAUAAGUAAUGAUCAAUUGAAAGGUUCCAGUUGCAUUUUUCCCUAAAUAUUUAUCACUUAAUAGUCACGUGUACUGCUUCACAUCAUUAAGUCAUAAGUGGCCCCAGUUUAAUGAAGCUGAAUAUUCAAAAUUACUAAUGUGAUACUGGACUCCCUGUAUGCUCUGAUCACUUCAGUCCUUCAGCUGGAUGAGAACACAAACAAUUCCAAAAUCCUCAUGGACUGGACAAAAAUCAUAGCAGUGAUGAAAGGCCUGACUCCAUGAGUUGACACAGCUGAGGCCUGUAUAUGAAAUGAGCUUUCACUGAUAGAAGAAUGAGCCAUCCAACUUCAGGAGCCUUUUAAACUGCUAAGACAACUGGAUAGCUGAAAUGAAGGAAUCCUCUGCUAGGAGUGAGCCCUGCCAGCCACACCUGUGCUGAAUGUGGUGUCCUCACAGGGCUCCUCCACUGAGUACACUCACCACAUGAAGAUAGCUUUUGCUGGAGGUGGUGCAAUCAGGAAGGUGAAAUGCUGAUCAUGAGCCUUAAUGCAGAUGUUCCUUCUCCUCUGGGAGGCUGAACUGAUACUCAGCUGAUACGACUGCAAAUACACAUUAAAGAGUUUGAAUCCUCUAGCUACAAACACACAAAGCUGCCAAAUGAAACUGCAGUGGGAGUGCUACAAGGAUGCAAAGCUCACAUCCUCCCAGCUAAUGUAGCUCAAGCAAUUCACUUAAUAAUUGAAGUGGGACCUUUAGGUGAGAGUGGAGAAUAAAACUUCUCUUUGUGGAAUGUGGAUCCAUUCUCUCUCAGAACUGUAACUAAUGGGGUGACAGCUAAAUAUAAGUGAGAAUUUUCAAGGAGAAGUUAAGAAACCUGCCUUCUAGUGGGUUUUAGAAUGUUUGUGAAGAGACUAUUUCCUCCUGUGUGGUAAUAAAAUACGGUAAAUUAACGUGUUUAACUUUUCAAAGUUGUUUGCCCACAGUGUGCUCGUGAAUGCUCAAUGUUUGCUACUACUUGUGCUAUGAUGGUUGGUUGUAAUUGGUGAGAUAAGCCACGUAACCUUUCUAAUUCAGCCCAGGAAGCAUGAACAAGUGUGUCUUUCCCUGAUGCACAGACCCAGAGCUCAGCUGCUCUUGCAGAAGGUUAAACUUUCCGCAAGGAGAAUAUGGUAAUACAGGAGUGUUCAGGGUCAUAGAUUGUGCAACAGCAUCACAUAUGUGCAGGCUGGUGCAGAGCACAAUCUAUAUAAACACAGCUGGAGAUCUUAUUUGUGUUGAAGCCAGGAUUGAUUGCUUUCCACUCACUGCUUCUACAUUUGAAAUGUCCAUGCAGUUACAAAUGCCUGCCUGUAAAUUUUCCAUGAAAAAUUAAGUCAUUCUCACUCAGUCACCACCGAUGAAAAUUUCAGCUCCUGCUCUGCACCACUGACUACUGCCUCAGCUCUUCCCUUGAGCUGGUAAAGCAUCACAAAGGGCUUCCUUUCAGUGAUUCCCUGGCAAACCCUCAUUGCUUUCUGACUGCUACCUUGGGGACCAAGCUGAAGCCUUUUCUGGCUGCAAGCAAUGUUUUUGAUAGCUUUAUCCAGAAUCAGACAUUGUUUGAGACCUGCAUAUUCCAUCCUUACAGGAAGCUCCUCCUCUGCUUUCUGGAACACUUUUGUACAUCCCAGAGGAUGUGCAGCAGGAGAUGCCCUUCACACACAGCACAGCUGAAAGGAAGGGGUUAAAGCUGGUCAGCUGCUGCCUGGCUUCUCAAUGAUCUUGUCAGUGAUCCUACAUCAGCUUCUGAGCUUGAACAAGUGUUGCCUGCACCCACUGUCAACAGGUUACUGAGGUCCUGCUUGGGCGUCACACUUUCUCUCAAAUUUAGCUCACUUGCAGUAACACAGAUGUGGCUUUAAACCCAAAACCAGUGUUGCACAGAACUUGGCAGGAAAACUUAGUGUGGAAGUCCUCAUGAGGUACUUGACCUGAUUUUCACUUGACAGGAUUACAUAACAGCACAGUCAAUCCGACAGAGUCAACCCUAAUCCAAUACUAUUAGAAGGAGGAUGGGAGAAUCUGAUAAAGAUUCUGAGUGUAACUUAGGGUCUGUAAGACAGGGAGUGAUUUAGAAGUGUAGUCAGUUGGAUUUCUAAAGCCGGCACUUUGAUUCAGUUGGAACCUGCAUGAUGUUAGUUCCAGGAACAGUUUAGGCAAGAAAAAUAUUUGGCUUUUUUCUUUUUAUAUAGUGAUAUAUAAACACUCAGUGAUGGAAGAGCAGGACAUUAUUGACUGUGCAAGGAAUGAAUUAGAACAGCCUCAAUCUGCUAUACUUUUGUCUGAGUAGCAAGACCUUUUAAACUUCUACUGUUUGUGUCACUGCUCCUCUGACAGGGCUUCGCCCAGCUUUAAUUUUAUGAGCAGCUGGACUACUUCUUGUCUGAAUACAAUGAAUUUUAGCUCUUAAGAGCAAGUUCUUGACUUGACAUUGUCAUUUAACCUAGGGAGCACUUGGGUAUGAUUCCAGGAUUUACAUCUCAACCCUGCUUCUCCUGCUCUUUAAACAGGGAAGAGGGCUGAAGCAACAGUCAUAUAAGGCACUGGGCUCCCUCCCAAUGUACACAGUGAGUAUUAGGGAAAGGCCUCAAAGCCUCUGAUCGGAAUUUGCAUCCUGACCUGAACUUUAAACCUGUAACAGAUCAUAACCUUUGGGCCCUCUGUCUCAUCAGAAGACUGAGAUGCUCUUCCAGCCAAUUCUUCCUCACCUGAUUUAGGUCCCUGUUGCUAGACAAGACACAUUUGAGCCAGAGAAAGCACAAGAACCCUCAAAUUAGCUUCUUUAAAAGCAAAAUUAAAAGGCUGAAGAAAGUUUGAAAAAAAAAUAAUUGUAGCUAAAAAAAUUUUUGGCUGAAGGUCUCUCAAAUGGUAACAUUACUGUCAGGAGAGAUCCUAGAUUGGGAUAUAUGAAACAACCAAACCAGAACCUCACACCAGUUGUUCUUUCUCCAUCUGGUCUACUUCAGAAAUACUUCAGGAAAAGAUUUUGUUUUCCUCUUCAGUUAACUCCCUUCCUCAGUUGAUUAAUCUAUGUCUCAAUUGAUAUGCUCAGUAGUUUUUCUUCUCCAUUGGGAAGACUCUCUGCCUUUAAACACAUGCAUAAAAAGGGAUCUGAGCCACCCAAGGAGUUUACCUUCCUUCCUGGUGCACUGACAUUUAAAAGCUACAUCUUAGAAUAAAGCAGAAAAACUGUGGCAGUCUGGUUACAUGCAGUUUUGGUGGAGUAAACACUUGAUUAUUCAACAAUGAGUCACUCCUGCAGUAACCUCAUUCUGUCAUGAGUGUAUCACAUCUGCUAACUCUCCACAGCAAAAACCAGAACCUGAACCACUUCAAAACGUGAAUUCAGCCUCGUGGUUCGCACAUAACACUCUAUUCAACCAAAGCAGCCAUGUGCUAUAAGUGUAAAAGGGCAAAGUAGUUGUUCUCAAAGAGAAAAUAUCAUAGAGAACAACAAAGACAAUUAUGGCAAAAGCCUUCUCCAUUCUUCAGCUCUUCUCACAAUGUCUGGCUUGUCCAUUAUUCUUCAAGUCUCUUUCAGUUCUCUUAGAAAGCCGUUGUGGUUUUGGAGCACAGUGUAUUUGGAACACAGAAUACUGGGGCUGCUCUGCCCUCUGGGUUGACUCCUUGCCCUCUGCCACACUGUCACUCUCAGCCAGAGCUCAGGUGGGCCUUGGCUGAAGCAGAACCUCCUCCCCACAACAUCCACCUCUCCCCAAACCUCCACUCUCUGGUCGACAACACCUGAGGCAGAACACGGCUCCUGGGUCUUCAUUUGGUUCAAAAUUUUGUAUGUGAUACAAAAGAAGGCUAAACAACAGCAUUUUUGCUACACUACCCUAAAUUGUAACACUGGAAUUUUAAUUAAAUUUAUUUACCAUUCUUGUAACAGUAAUUUUGUUAAUUUUGUUGGAAAGAGAGGAAACAGCAAAUAAGGAUAUUGUGGUAAUCACAAUGUCGUAAAUUGGGAAAUGGUCCUAGUGAAAUAUUGCUAACAUUCAGUCAACUACUUUUUAUCAGUGGCUUUACGUAAGAGCACCUUUUUAUAUUAAAAUUAAGCAGUGCUUGUCUAUUAAAUUCAAAUACUUAAAGUGAACUAUGAGAGAUGGUAGAGUUUUUUCUGGACAAUGCAGGAGACAGGUGCAGGAAGGAUGGUGCAGCAUUUUUGCAGAGAGCACCAUUUGGGGUACUGUAGCCCAAGACAUGGGGCAGCUGGCAGCUGCAGCAGGGGUCAAGGACUGCAGUCAAAUCAGGAUUUCAGAGUGUCUGGGGCACUAAAGAUCCAGCCUGAAUGUCCAUUUUAUCCUAGAGCACUUUGGGCUCAGUAUUGGAAUCUUUUUGACACAGCAUGAUUAUUUUGGUUACUCUUGAUCCACCCCAGUACCUGUGCUUGUCCACCUGUAAAUGGUCUAAGGUGAAAAUAAAAAAUCCCUUUGUUGAAUCCAUUACAUUCCUGUCAUAUAUAUGUGAACACAUGUUGGUGGUCUGAGCUUUUUGUGAGGAAAAGUUUAAAAGAAUUAAAUCAGUUUCUCCCCCUGAUACAUUACAGGUUUGUUUAAAGAAAACUAAAUAAUGGCAGCUGCAAUUAUUUUCUUUGUAAGACCAAGGAUUGAGAUAGUGCAUAUAAUGGACCUACAAAUUCAUAGAUGCACAUGUGUAUUUUUUCCAGAAGUUUAGCUAUUAAUAUUUAUGUUAUUGAUCUGAAAGUUUGAUAAAAUUCCAUUAUUAAUGAAAGUAGUCUUGGCUGGAACCAAAAAUUCAGUGAUCAGUGUGACUACCAUGCCACUAGCAAGCUACUAAAUAAUGCAAGUUCAGCCUUUCAUGAAAUCCAAAGGGAAAAAAUAUUCUGAUUAAAAGUAGAAAUCUCUGGUAAAGUCUAUGGGUAUAAAGUUUAACCAUUACUUAUUUACAUAUUAUUUAAGCAAUUAGCAGCUAUAAAAACAGUAAAAUAAUUAGUUUCCAAAGCUUAACUAUAGAUGAAAGAAAUUUUUUUCUCAUUAGAAAAGCUAAUUUCAAUCUAUGUUCCAUCUACUCUUUCCCCAGACAAUAAAAUGCUAAUAUUGCUAUGACACACAGGUCUGCACAAUGCUACAUAUAGCCCACUACUUGCCAUGAUAAACAUCAUUAUUUUUGUAAAUGAAACAUCCUCUCUCCCCCAGCCACACACGUGGUAAAAUAUUACUCACACUAGGUUUAUCAGCAUCACUGAAAGAUCAGAAAUUAGCACCUCCUACUCAAGAGCAGGACUUAAAAACAUGAUUUGUCUGUUGCAAAAAUACAAAAAUUCUGAGGGGGAAGCACUAACUGUGUAGAGGUUAAAGUUUUAUUUGACAACUUCUAUUCUUUUUUCCUUCCCCUUUCUAAAGGAAGUGCUUGUAUAUGUAGACAGGCAUUUGCCAUUUGGGUGAGAUGUUCUCCUUCCAAGUACAAAAGAGAUGAAACAGCCACUAUGUACUGUGAGUAACCUUCAGUUUGUUUUGCAGCAUAAAAAGUCCUCUAACUGGCAAUAUAUGAACUCUUAUUAUAAACUUGUUAUGCUCAUUACAGGAAAUGAGUUCAUAGCCAGUUAAUUAGUAUUUUCCUUAAUGACUUAUGCUUGAGUCUUAACACAGAAGAGCAGCCUCUGGAGGUGUUUGUGUAAUCAGUUCAGCACUGUAGGUCUCACACUCACCAGCCUGGAGUGAGGAGCAAGGCAUGCUCUGGUCUGGAAGGGUCUUCAACAUGUGCCUAAGCAUAAGGGAAUUUCUGGUUUCUGUUUAACACAAAAAAAACCCCUUGCUCUUGCUCAAUCCAGGCCUGGCAUGGAAUCUGUGCCAUGUUCUAAUUUGGAAGAGGAAAAACCUUUCCUUUGAAUUAUAAAAAAAUUAGAGUGAAAAGGGACCACCGGGGCUGCCUCUCCCAUGACCCACUUGAAGCAGGGCUCCUGUGAGGUUGGAGCAGGUUGCAUGGGUUUUGUCUUGAUAAGGUUUGAAAAUCUCCAAGGCCCAUGGCUUCACAACAAAUUCUGUCAUUGGGUAUGUUCAAUGCCCUACCAAGGCUGAUAAAAGUGCAGGAAACACCUUUGUAAGUGCAUCUGGUUUAUGAUGUUCCUUUUUUGUUCUGUUGUGCACUGAUCUGAUUACAGUCAAAUUCAGAUCUAGUGGAAUUAAGUGCAACCCCCUUUUUUCAAAGAACUUCCACUGACAUCAAGAAAUUUUCUUUUCUUCCUGUUGCCAUUAGUCUAAGGUUAUGGUCAUGCUGAGGACAUCAGCAUUCUCUCCCCUGUGUGUGUGUAUGUGAAGCCUGCUUCUCUGACACUGAAACUGGAAUAGGCAUGGAAUCAGAUUCAGGACAUCUGCUGAAGUCUAGCUAUGUAUUUUCUGAGGUCAGUGACAAAAUCUUGAGUGGCUGUUAAGUUACUAGACUGGCACCAAAGAAAAAAGAGGAUUUACUGAGAUUACUCUUUCUCCUCACAAAUAUCCUUGGCAAUGCCAUACCUGUUUCAUGUGCUGAUGGAAUGGCAGUGCAAAAUAAAAACCUUUCUUCUACCUCUUUCCUUGUAAUUCUUCAAGCUUUACUUCCUGUAAAGGGAAUAAUCAGAAAUAAGUUUUCAGUUGCCCUUUUAAAAGCCCAGACUCCAGACCAAAUCUCUAAUUGCAUUCUUUUAAAGGCCACACAGUGGUGUUAAGCUCUGUAGUAACACACUCAGAAAGGACCUGAAAGUCUGUGCUGAGAACAGCAUCUCUCACCUCACAGGCUCAGCUGUGAUUUGUGCCUCUACAGAAAACAAUCCAUUUGCACCUUAUUGGAAUGAUCUGGAGAGGAAAAAAUAAUGUUGUGGAGACCAGGACAUUUCUUAAAGUGCUUUACCUGGAGGCCUGUUCUGUGCUCUUGCAAGCAUCAGAAAACUCUGCAUCAACAUGGAAAAGUACCUGUUGCUCCCCUCAUGGAACAUCUCCAAAGUCAUGAGCCAAUGUGAAGCAUGUUGCCUGCAGCUGUACAAAGGCUCCCUGUGUCAUGUGCUGCAUGGGAAUGACCUCACCAGCUGAAUGGAGCUACUGAACCAGUUAUGGAUGCAGUCUGACAGUCCCAGAACAAACAUGACUCAUUUAAGAACAUUCCCUACCUUCCUUUUUAAUAACUGGUUUCUCCAAAGUCAGUAAAGUAGAACUGAAGGGAGAACAAAGAGUUCUUCAGUGAACUCUGCAGUGUUCUCACACACCCCUUGCUGUGCUGCAGGAGCACGUUUGAAACAAGAGCUCCACAACAAUUCCAUCUUCUCUGGUGGUACCCCAGCUCUCACACUGUAAUCAACUCCAGCAGCAGAUAUGGACAUGCCCAUACUAACAACAGCAAUACCAUUACUAAGGAAUUAAUAGUUCUGUGUCCCAGAUUUCAAACCAAAAAGCUUUAAAAAGACUAAAUGUUGGUGUGCAGCAGAGGCCAUCAUCCAUGAUUAUGAUAAUGAUGGUGUUGAGAUGAGAAAAGGGUUCUGAAAAUAAGAUUUGUGUCUAGUUUGACCAUCAAAACUUGGUUGUGUAACUUCACAUACAAGACUGUUCAACUUCCAUACUCAGUUUUCUUAACAAUGAGCUAAAAAAUUUAUUUCUUGGUAUGCUUUUGCUUUUUCACCUUGUAGUAAAUCCAUUAUCACUUUGAUUCUACUUUUUGACAAAAUAGACAAAAGAAAUCACAAUAUAUCAGGGUAAACUUUGAAAAUUGGAGCUUUAUUUGUAAAAUAUUUUUGGUAUUAUGAAAUCUUAACUCCACCAAUGCCAUUGACAACAAAGAAAAAAAUCUUGAUUAUAUAAGGGAACUGAGGCUUUGUUUCAGAUGAAGCUAUUAAAGUAUGCAAAUAGUAAUGUAAUUUUUAAAUGUGGAAUACACAAGUCCUCAUACUAGGUCUUCUCCUAUUGUUUCACAUUGAUUGCAGUGGACUGAUACUACAGGAUUGCCGUGGCAUCCCAAAUUGGAAACAAUGGAAUACAUUCACUUCAGUAGCAGUGGCUGUGCUCGGACAGGCUCAGUGCAAUUUUCAAGUAUAUUUUGUUAAUAGUCUCCCUAUACAAUUUAUUGUACUGUAAUCCAAUGUGUGUCUGGGAAAAGCUUUAUUCAAAUAGAUUUGGCUUCUGUAACUGACAUGUGACAUUAACUCGGUGUGAACUGCAAGAUUCUCCAUCUCACGGUUUGAGGUGGGGUGGAAGGGCCUCAUGAUGCGGAAAGUGCCACGUCUCUGGUCUUGGGCACUGAUCUGUAUUUCUGAGGGACCUCAGUUCAAGUUCUAAGGAUCAAGUUUGUAGUGAGGUAAUAGCUUAUAGAUAGGGACAUAAUGUGCUUUAAUUGCAUUUUGGAACUUGAGGAGAUGUUUUCUCAGUAGUAAGGCAGCGUAUGACAAGAAAAGUUGAUUCAUUGGUUACUAGGUUCCAGGAUGUUUUCUGAAGGGCCUUGAAGAGUAGGACAGCAUCCUCUCUGACUAGGCCAGAACAUAGCUGCAGUGGGUUAGCCCAGUCUUUAAAUAUGAGCUGUUUAGUCAAAACACCUGUUGCUUUUAACCCUCCCCUUAAUGUGAGUUAGGUAACUCUUGAGAGGGAAUCCCAGAUAGGGCUACAGGGAGAUCAAUACAGUGAAGGUGUGAAGUCUUUCUGCAGAGGAAAAUUCUCCUCUUUCUAGCAGUCCCAUGAGUGGAGGAACACAUAAGGAAACACUUCAGCAGACUUUAAGGCACCACGAGUUAGGGGGGCGGCAGCUGCAAGGAGUGCAGUGGAGCCCAGCCCGCCCCCAAUGCUGUGUGCUCCCCAGAAGCAAGGCUCUGGCAGGACAGGCUCCACGAUUCAGCACUCCUGGUUCCUUGGGUGGGCUUUCCAUCCACUGAGCUCUGCGCCUGUCCAGGGAAUGCCACUACUUCAAAGCUGGCUUGAAUGUGCCUUCACAGGCUGCCACUACAAUGCAGAGGUACUCCAAGGCUGCCCCAAGUCUUCCUUGCACUGUAUUCACUUAAAAAAGACCAAGAAUGCUAUCACUGUACAAGGGGAAUCAGUCUCCUAACUAAGCACUGCUUCCUCCAGCCUUAAAUGAAAGCAGCAAAAGCCACCAGCGUUGUUACCAACAGCUAACAGGUAAUGCACACUAGGAGAGCAGGGCUGGGGAAACAAAAUGAUAAUUGUAAAUGACCCAUAUUGAUAAAAGGAAUGAAAGGUGGUUGGAUAUGUUUCCUAGACCCACUAGAAAGAAAGACAAUGGUCACUUAAUUCUCUAUCCAGACGCAAGGAAACCAUGAGCCAUACAGCCUUUUUAUAAAUGCCUAUGAAAGGCAUAUCUCACAGCUCAGCUUUUUUGGCAAGGUAAGAUUUCUUUCAUCUUUCUGUUUUGUUCUAGUGACUCCAUUUUUGUCAAAUAUAGUUUAUUUGCUUUCCUGCAGCACAGCCUUUCCUCUAAGGAACAACAAUUAGCUAAUAUAACUUAGGAUUAUUAAUUCCUGCUUUCUUUUUAUGUCCUUUAACCAUUCCCCUUUAAGAAAUGUAAAGGUUUGCUUUGUUUUGGGUUUGUUGGGUUUUUUUUCUAUUCCCUGGCUUAAACUACUUGUUUAAUUUUUUUUUAUUGUGAAGUUACACAACAGAAGCAUUGGAUUCCAGAGUUCCUCUACUGCUAAUGAAGUAUGACAUGUUACAAGUGGAUGGAAUAUGUCUCAUUAUAGUAAUGAGUACUAUAUUUUAAUGGAUUUCUGUGUAAAAAAGGCUCAUGUGAUAAUUUUGAUUUUGUCUGCUUGUUUGCUUCUACCCAUGCACACGGUAAUUUUAAAUUUAUUGGCUACUGACAGAUAGGAAGAAAUCCCAAGGAUAUUCCAGCCACAUAAUUUUCAAGAAAUUUUACACCUGGGAAAUGAGGUAGUUGAGGAUUCUUUCCCUAGAGCUGCAUUUGGUAAAGGACCAUACUUAAGCUCUUACCAAUUAAAUACCAGAUAAUCCACAAAGAUGGGACAGAUUUCUGCCCUCUUUGGUUUAGUUACUCUCCUGAGCAAAUUGCCAAAGCUCUUUAUAUCAAAGGGAUUUAUCCCAACACACU